UCUAAAUUGUCGCCACGCUGCUUCGAUGAGUUGGUACCUUCUGUCUCGUAUCGAGUGUAAUCUAUUGCGCUAGAGGUUGUUUAUCGUGUUUAAUAUUGGGUUUACUAUUUGCGGUUAGGAUAAACGAUUCGGAGUGAAAUUAUUAAUUGGGUUUAAAAUCAAGGGUUUAUACUGAAGUUGUAAUAUAGUGUGGGGAUACAAGUUAGGGUUGUAUUAUAGACCAAAUGGAAAGAUAACUGCUGUUCUUUGUAUUUAGUCACAUAAGUUAAGUUAUAUUUAUAUUUACUUUGGAUUAUAAUUUGUUGAAUUGAGUUGCCUGGAGAUCCUAAACAUUCGAAAACCGUUCCAUUAACAACGUUCCUUCACGUUCCAUAUACGUUCCUCAUACCCGGUAUCAAGAUUCACGUUACGUUCCAUUAACAACGUUCCAUUUCUCUUACCCUGCAAGUUCUAUUUUCCUGAUUCAGUGAUUCAUGUUCGAGAUUUUAUUUGAAGUGUCUGUUGAUUGUUAUUAAAGAUAUUCACCGA